rnacentral:rRNA from 1 species
UACCUGCAGCUCGAGUGGUAACCGCUAUUAUUGGGCCUAAAGCGUCCGUAGCCGGUUUGGUAAAUAUCUGGGUAAAUCGUGAGGCUUAACUUCACGAAUUUCGGAUAGACUGCCAGACUUGGGAUCGGGGGAGGUCAGAGGUACUCCAGGGGUAGCGGUGAAAUGUUGUAAUCCUUGGAGGACCACCGGUAGCGAAGGCGUCUGACUAGAACGAGUCCGACGGUGAGGGACGAAGCCCUGGGGCGCAAACCGGAUUAGAUACCCGGGUAGUCCAGGGUGUAAACAAUGUGGGCUUUGUAUUGGAGAUCCCACGUGGGUGUCCAGUGCAGAAGAGAAGUUGUUAAGCCCACCGCCUGGGAAGUACGGUCGCAAGGCUGAAACUUAAAGGAAUUGGCGGGGAGCACAGCAACGGGAGGAGCGUGCGGUUU